CCCUUAGAUGUUCUGGGCCGCACGCGCGCUACACUGAUGCAUUCAACGAGUCUAAAACCUGGUCUGAUAGGGCUGGGUAAUCUUUUGAAAGUGCAUCGUGAUUGGGAUAGAUGAUUGCAAUUCUUCAUCUUCAACGAGGAAUGCCUAGUAAACGCAAGUCAUCAGCUUGCAUUGAUUACGUCCCUGCCCUUUGUACACACCGCCCGUCGCUCCUACCGAUUGGGUGUGCUGGUGAAAUGUUCGGAUCGGCCGUUUGUCGCGGUUUCCGCGGCUCGUGGCUGAGAAGUUCAUUAAACCCUCCCACCUAGAGGAAGGAGAAGUCGUAACA
rnacentral:rRNA from 1 species